CGGGUGGUAAUGCCGGAUGCUCCAGUUGAUCGCAUGGUCUUCUGGGAAAGCUUUCGCGGUAUGGGAUGGGGUCGCGUCCUAUCAGCUUGACGGCGGGGUAACGGCCCACCGUGGCUUCGACGGGUAGCCGGCCUGAGAGGGCGACCGGCCACAUUGGGACUGAGAUACGGCCCAGACUCCUACGGGAGGCAGCAGUGGGGAAUAUUGCACAAUGGGCGCAAGCCUGAUGCAGCGACGCCGCGUGAGGGAUGGAGGCCUUCGGGUUGUAAACCUCUUUUAUCGGGGAGCAAGCGAGAGUGAGUUUACCCGUUGAAUAAGCACCGGCUAACUACGUGCCAGCAGCCGCGGUAAUACGUAGGGUGCAAGCGUUAUCCGGAAUUAUUGGGCGUAAAGGGCUCGUAGGCGGUUCGUCGCGUCCGGUGUGAAAGUCCAUCGCUUAACGGUGGAUCCGCGCCGGGUACGGGCGGGCUUGAGUGCGGUAGGGGAGACUGGAAUUCCCGGUGUAACGGUGGAAUGUGUAGAUAUCGGA
rnacentral:rRNA from 2 species